GCCAGUGGUGAACUCCACAUACGCAUCCUUUGCUGAGGAUACGGUUAACGGAGCGAAAGCGACGUUCAACCGCAAAAGAAGCAGAGGGGGCUUAGUGGUGGGGUGACUGCGUACCUUUUGUAUAAUGGGUCAGCGACUUAUAUUCUGUAGCAAGGUUAACCGAAUAGGGGAGCCGGAGGGAAACCGAGUCUUAACCGGGCGUUAAGUUGCAGGGUAUAGACCCGAAACCCGGUGAUCUAGCCAUGGGCAGGUUGAAGGUUGGGUAACACUAACUGGAGGACCGAACCGACUAAUGUUGAAAAAUUAGCGGAUGACCUGUGGCUGGGGGUGAAAGGCCAAUCAAACCGGGAGAUAGCUGGUUCUCCCCGAAAGCUAUUUAGGUAGCGCCUCGUGAACUCAUCUCCGGGGGUAGAGCACUGUUUCGGCUAGGGGGCCAUCCCGGCUUACCAACCCGAUGCAAACUGCGAAUACCGGAGAAUGUUAUCACGGGAGACACACGGCGGGUGCUAACGUCCGUCGUGAAGAGGGAAACAACCCAGACCGCCAGCUAAGGUCCCAAAGUCAUGGUUAAGUGGGAAACGAUGUGGGAAGGCCCAGACAGCCAGGAUGUUGGCUUAGAAGCAGCCAUCAUUUAAAGAAAGCGUAAUAGCUCACUGGUCGAGUCGGCCUGCGCGGAAGAUGUAACGGGGCUAAACCAUGCACCGAAGCUGCGGCAGCGACACUCAGGUGUUGUUGGGUAGGGGAGCGUUCUGUAAGCCUGCGAAGGUGGCCUGUGAGGGUUGCUGGAGGUAUCAGAAGUGCGAAUGCUGACAUAAGUAACGAUAAAGCGGGUGAAAAGCCCGCUCGCCGGAAGACCAAGGGUUCCUGUCCAACGUUAAUCGGGGCAGGGUGAGUCGACCCCUAAGGCGAGGCCGAAAGGCGUAGUCGAUGGGAAACGGGUUAAUAUUCCCGUACUUGGUGUUACUGCGAAGGGGGGACGGAGAAGGCUAUGUUGGCCGGGCGACGGUUGUCCCGGUUUAAGCGUGUAGGUGUGUGUUCCAGGUAAAUCCGGUUCACUUUAACACUGAGGCGUGAUGACGAGGCACUACGGUGCUGAAGCAACAAAUGCCCUGCUUCCAGGAAAAGCCUCUAAGCAUCAGGUAACAUCAAAUCGUACCCCAAACCGACACAGGUGGUCAGGUAGAGAAUACCAAGGCGCUUGAGAGAACUCGGGUGAAGGAACUAGGCAAAAUGGUGCCGUAACUUCGGGAGAAGGCACGCUGACACGUAGGUGAAGUGAUUUACUCAUGGAGCUGAAGUCAGUCGAAGAUACCAGCUGGCUGCAACUGUUUAUUAAAAACACAGCACUGUGCAAACACGAAAGUGGACGUAUACGGUGUGACGCCUGCCCGGUGCCGGAAGGUUAAUUGAUGGGGUCAGCGCAAGCGAAGCUCCUGAUCGAAGCCCCGGUAAACGGCGGCCGUAACUAUAACGGUCCUAAGGUAGCGAAAUUCCUUGUCGGGUAAGUUCCGACCUGCACGAAUGGCGUAAUGAUGGCCAGGCUGUCUCCACCCGAGACUCAGUGAAAUUGAACUCGCUGUGAAGAUGCAGUGUACCCGCGGCAAGACGGAAAGACCCCGUGAACCUUUACUAUAGCUUGACACUGAACAUUGAGCCUUGAUGUGUAGGAUAGGUGGGAGGCUUUGAAGUGUGGACGCCAGUCUGCAUGGAGCCGGCCUUGAAAUACCACCCUUUAAUGUUUGAUGUUCUAACGUGGACCCGUGAUCCGGGUUGCGGACAGUGUCUGGUGGGUAGUUUGACUGGGGCGGUCUCCUCCUAAAGAGUAACGGAGGAGCACGAAGGUUGGCUAAUCCUGGUCGGACAUCAGGAGGUUAGUGCAAUGGCAUAAGCCAGCUUGACUGCGAGCGUGACGGCGCGAGCAGGUGCGAAAGCAGGUCAUAGUGAUCCGGUGGUUCUGAAUGGAAGGGCCAUCGCUCAACGGAUAAAAGGUACUCCGGGGAUAACAGGCUGAUACCGCCCAAGAGUUCAUAUCGACGGCGGUGUUUGGCACCUCGAUGUCGGCUCAUCACAUCCUGGGGCUGAAGUAGGUCCCAAGGGUAUGGCUGUUCGCCAUUUAAAGUGGUACGCGAGCUGGGUUUAGAACGUCGUGAGACAGUUCGGUCCCUAUCUGCCGUGGGCGCUGGAGAACUGAGGGGGGCUGCUCCUAGUACGAGAGGACCGGAGUGGACGCAUCACUGGUGUUCGGGUUGUCAUGCCAAUGGCACUGCCCGGUAGCUAAAUGCGGAAGAGAUAAGUGCUGAAAGCAUCUAAGCACGAAACUUGCCCCGAGAUGAGUUCUCCCUGAGACUUUAGGUCUCCUGAAGGAACGUUGAAGACGACGACGUUGAUAGGCCGGGUGUGUAAGCGCAGCGAUGCGUUGAGCUAACCGGUACUAAUGAACCGUGAGGCUUAACCUUACA
rnacentral:rRNA from 1 species